rnacentral:rRNA from 1 species
ACAUGCCUACAACAUAGUGUUAAUGCACCGGAUCCCAUUAGAACUCUGCAGUUAAGUGCACUUAGGCUAGAAUAGUACUGGGAUGGGUGACUUCCCAGGAAGUGCUAGUAUUUUACAUGCC